UACGUAGGGGGCAAGCGUUGUCCGGAUUUAUUGGGCGUAAAGCGCGCGUAGGCGGCGCGGUAUGUCGUGCGUGAAAUCUCCCGGCUUAACUGGGAGGGUGCGCCGAAGACUGGAAGGCUUGAGUAUGGGAGAGGUAAGCGGAAUUCCUGGUGUAGCGGUGAAAUGCGUAGAUAUCAGGAGGAACACCUGCGGUGUAGACGGCUUACUGGACCAUAACUGACGCUGAGGCACGAAAGCGUGGGUAGCAAACAGG
rnacentral:rRNA from 1 species